rnacentral:rRNA from 1 species
AUUGAACGCUGGCGGUAGGCCUAACACAUGCAAGUCGAACGCGAAAGUCCUUCGGGAUGAGUAGAGUGGCGGACGGGUGAGUAACGCGUAGGAAUCUAUCCUGUAGUGGGGGAUAACGUUUCGAAAGGAACGCUAAUACCGCAUACGCCCUACGGGGGAAAGGCGGGGGAGUCUUCGGACCUCGUGCUAGAGGAGGAGCCUGCGUCGGAUUAGCUAGUUGGUGAGGUAAAGGCUCACCAAGGCGACGAUCCGUAGCUGGUCUGAGAGGAUGAUCAGCCACCACCGGAACUGAGACACGGUCCGGACUCCUACGGGAGGCAGCAGGUGGGGAAUAUUGCGCAAUGGGCGAAAGCCUGACGCAGCCAUACCGCGUGUGUGAAGAAGGCCUUCGGUUGGUUAAAGCACUUCUAGUGGGAGGGAAAGACGUGGUGGCGUAAUAUCCAUC